ACUCUCCUCAGACCACACUGGUCUCCUUCCAGUUCCCAUUUUCGAGGGCUGCCUUGACCUCAGGAUCUUUGCUCUUCCUCCUCACUUUUCCCUUAAUACUUUUCCCCCAAAUACUCACAUGGCUUGCUCCUUCAUUUCCUUAAGUCUCUGCUCAAAUGUCCCUUCUCAGUGAGGCCUUCCCUGACCACUCCAUUUAAAAUUGCAGUGACCUGACCUCCACACCUGCUCUGGCAUCCCCACCACAUCCUGCUUCCCUGCUUAAUAUUUUUCAUAGCACUUACCCCUCCUAGUCUGUGAUAUAAUUUAUUUAUUUAUUUUGUUCAUUGUCUGUCCUCUCCCACUACCACCAUCACCACCACUAUAACGGUAAAUUCUGUAAGUCAGGAAGUUUUGUCUGUAUUAGUCAUUGAUGCUCAGCACCUAAAAGAGUAUCAGGCACAGUCAGCCUCGGACUGCAGCCUGCAAGGCUCUUCUGUCCAUGGGAUUCUCCAAGCAAGAACAUUGGAGUAGGUUACCAUGCCCUCCUCCAGGGGAUCUUCCUGACCCAGGGGUCGAACCUGCAUCUCUAAAGUCUCCUGCGUUGCUGCUUGUGCUGUUCUUCAGAGGCUGCUGCUGCUGCUGCUAAGUCACUUCAGUCGUGUCCGAUUCUGUGCAACCCCAUAGACAGCAGCCAACCAGGCUCCCCCGUCCCUGGGAUUCUCCAGGAUUCCCUGAUACCUCAGCUGGUAAAGAAUGCACCCGCCAUGCGGGAGACCCUGGUUGGAUCUCUGGGUUGGGAAGAUCCCCCAGAGAAGGGAAUGGCUACCCACUGCAGGAUUGGCCUGGAGAAUCCCAUGGACUCUAAAAGUCCACGGGGUCACAGAGAGUCAGACACAAGAUCCACUCAAGGUUGACUUUUGGCCCCUAUGUGACUUUGGCUGGUUUCCUGACCUGGAUCCUGUGCCUCAGUUCCCACCUCUGGCAGAUACACCCUUAGCCAGGAGAUCCUUGUCCACCCAUGGAGUUGUUAUGAGGAACCUGAGGCAUGGCAUGAUUAAGUAGCCCAAAGGUACUCAAUUGGGAAGUGACAGAGCCAUAGGAGCAAUAAAAUAUUGAUAACC
ensembl:lncRNA